CACAAGCGGUGGAGCAUGUGGUUUAAUCGAAGCAACGCGAAGAACCUUACCAGGCCUUGACAUGCAGAGAACUUUCCAGAGAUGGAUUGGUGCCUUCGGGAACUCUGACACAGGUGCUGCAUGGCUGUCGUCAGCUCGUGUCGUGAGAUGCUGGGUUAAGUCCGUAACGAGCGCAACCCUUGUCCUUAGUUACCAGCACGUUAUGGUGGCACUCUAAGGAGACUGCCGGUGACAAACCGGAGGAAGGUGGGGAUGACGUCAAGUCAUCAUGGCCCUUACGGCCUGGGCUACACACGUGCUACAAUGGUCGGUACAAAGGGUUGCCAAGCCGCGAGGUGGAGCUAAUCCCAUAAAACCGAUCGUAGUCCGGAUCGCAGUCUGCAACUCGACUGCGUGAAGUCGGAAUCGCUAGUAAUCGUGAAUCAGAAUGUCACGGUGAAUACGUUCCCGGGCCUU
rnacentral:rRNA from 1 species